UGCAAGUCGUACGAACCACUUAUGCUUGCAUCAGUGGUUAGUGGCGGACGGGAGAGUAAUGCAUAGGUAACGUACCUCGGACUCCGGGAUAACAGCGGGAGCAAUCCCAUUGCGAAAGUGCUGCUAAUACCGGAUGAGAUCGUAGAGUCGCCUGGCUUAGCGAUCAAAGGUGGGGACCUUCGGGCCUGCCGGUCCGGGAUCGGCCUAUGUCCUAUCAGCUUGUUGGUGAGGUAACGGCUCACCAAGGCGUCGACGGGUAGCGGGCGUGAGAGCGUGACCCGCCUCAUCGGGACUGAGACACUGCCCGGACACCUACGGGUGGCUGCAGUAACGAAUAUUGGGCAAUGGGCGAAAGCCUGACCCAGCAAUGCCGCGUGCAGGAGGAAGCCCCUCGGGGUGUAAACUGCUGUCAGGGUCCAACAAGCAAAGCCGGUCAAUAGCCGGUCGCGUUGAGUAGACCCAAAGGAAGCCUCGGCUAACUCUGUGCCAGCAGCCGCGGUAAGACAGAGGAGGCGAGCGUUGUUCGGAUUCAUUGGGCUUAAAGAGCGCGUAGGCGGCUCGGUAAGCGUCCUGUGAAAUCCCACGGCUCAACCGUGGAAUUGCAGGGCGAACUGCUGGGCUUGAGGUUGGUAGAGGUGCCUGGAACUCUAGGUGGAGCGGUGAAAUGCGUAGAUAUCUAGAGGAACGCCAGAUGCGAAAGCGGGGCACUGGGCCAAUUCUGACGCUGAGGCGCGAAAGCGUGGGGAGCAAACAGGAUUAGAUACCCUGGUAGUCCACGCUGUAAACGAUGCACACUAGAUCUGGGAGGCUCUGACGUCGCCCGGGUCCAAGCGAAAGCGUUAAGUGUGCCGCCUGGGGACUACGGCCGCAAGGCUAAAACUCAAAGGAAUUGACGGGGGCUCACACAAGCGGUGGAGCAUGUGGCUUAAUUCGAAACAACGCGAAGAACCUUACCCAGGUUUGACAUGCUUGGAUGCUAUCCGGGGAUAACCCGGUGCGCUGCCCUUCGGGGUGAAACUUGCACAGGUGUUGCAUGGCUGUCGUCAGCUCGUGCUGUGAAGUGUCGGGUUAAGUCCCUUAACGAGCGAAACCCCUAUCGUUAGUUGCCAGCGAGUCAUGUCGGGGACUCUAACGAGACUGCCGGCGUUAAGCCGGAGGAAGGUGGGGACGACGUCAAGUCAUCAUGGCCUUUAUGCCUGGGGAUGCACACGUGCUACAAUGGCGCGUACAGAGCGACGCAAUGCCGCGAGGCGGAGCAAAUCGCAAAAAACGCGCCCCAGUUCGGGUUGGAGUCUGUAAUUCGACUCCAUGAAGUUGGAAUCGCUAGUAAUCGCGUAUCAGCUACGACGCGGUGAAUGUGUUCCUGAGCCUUGUACACACCGCCCGUCAAGUCAUGGAAGCUGGUAGCACCCGAAGUCCGUUUAGCCAACUGGUAACAGAGGCGGCGGCCGACGGUGAGACUGGUAACUGGGACUAAGUCGGAACAAGGUA
rnacentral:rRNA from 1 species